rnacentral:lncRNA from 1 species
GGACUGAUGUUUUCCAACCCUCGUAGGCACGCUUUUCGAUCUUUUUGUGCCGCUUGUAACUUGAAGGCUGCAAGUUCAAGGGCAUCAAACAGUUACAUUCUGUAGUUUUCAUUUCUAGAGGUUGUUAAGAUGAGACUGAUCAAGAACAUAAAGAUGAAAGGCUAUAUCAUUUGUUCCAUCAUGCUGUACAGGCAGAGUCCACUGUAAAGUGUGUUCGACCUCCAGGUAGCAAAUGAAAUGGAUGGUGAUAGCCAUAUCAAAUGUGGCAGAUGGACAGAACAAAAACAGCAUGAUAACAGGGUGUGGAGACGAAACAUGCAAGUCUGUUUGUGUGCAUUAUACAGAGGCAAUCACAACCAAUGCCUUCGCCUCAGCUAGGAACCAAUGUAGCAAUUCAAAUUAGGUUAUUAGUACCUCAGUUCCUUCACCAGAGGAAUAGCCACCACCCUCUAGUUUCCUUUUCUCCGGCAAAACAUCUAGGAGCUCUGUGCACCAAUCGACAAGUUAAUGGAUAAUGAUGGCAAAAUAUCUAGAAGUUAGCACCAUGGAGAAGUUAAAAUAAGUUCAGCAACAGAUAUCUACCUCCGUUCCCUUUCACAUCCUUGGGAUCUUUCUUUUCCUUUUCAGUUCCACAGACAUCAAAGCACAAGUCUUUCAAGGAUGUUGAAACCUGCAGAAGAAGCUCACAAAUAUGAUAAGCCUAGAACAAAAAAUGUAGUUGACAACAAAAGGGACUAUUGCAUAGUAGGAAAGGCUGCAUCUUACGGAAGAGAAUUCAGUUUCAGAUGCACCGCAAAGCUCAAUCAACUUAGGCUUGUCUACCUUUAACUGCAAACAUAUUAGGUAUGACACUGUAAUUAGUAAAAGUUGUACGGAGGAAAUCUGUUUCUUCCCACGAAAUCAAGCGAGAGAGAUGAACCAUGGGGAUACCUUGUGUUUUUUCGCACACAAAUAGAAUGCCACAGCAAUGAACACGGGUCGAGUGAAAGCAGCACUUGCCCUCCGAGAAGCUGGCAACGAUGCAAGAAACCGAGUCUUGUAACUGAAACAUAACAGUAUAAUAAUAAUAUUCUACACUUAGAACCAAGCCAUCCUAACAAAUAAACAGAACCUGAUGCUCUCAGAAGCAUUUUGUAGUUGGCAGAAUUACAAGGGCAGCGAGCAAAACAAAGCAUUGUUUGCCUCCAACUUUGAAUCCUGCCAUGUUGAACCCCAUGCUUGGGAACAACUGGUUUAAGUUGUCACCUUCUAGUAUUAGAAACUCAACAGCUACCAAAUACAGCUCAAGGUACAUGAAAAUGGUGAUGGUGAGUCUUCCCUUCUGUCCAUGAAAAUGGCGCGGAUUCCCGUCCAUGCAUCGUUGUAGAAGCAACCCGGUAUACCAACAAAGAAGCGCCAACUGGAAAAGAAAUCAAGCUCCUCCUUCAGAGAGUGCAAAUGGAAUUGAUAGAAUCCCAACUCUUGAAGAAUUAAACAAGGUGAUUAAGAAUGUUUUGGGCAAAGAGGGUAUACAUGCUGAUCUAGCCAACUGACCUAAUUCACGUCUGUCGUAAUUAAGAAAAUUAAAAAUAUGGUGUGACCGGAGAGGAAAAAGAGACAAAUUUACCUAAUAAUGUGUAGAGACCAUUGAAACAUGCUCAACUUUAACAUAAUUGGAGCAUUGGUCUUUGAAUUAAAAAUUUGUAAUCAAUGAUCCUUUCACUCAUCAAAAUGAGUCAUGUUAGAAGAAUUAUUGUUAAAAUUGAGUUAAAGUUGAGGAAAAGUUGAGGGACAUUGCUUCAAUUUGAUUAAAGUUGAUGGACCAUUUCUCUAUUUGGAUUAAAAUUGAGGGACCAUUGCUAAUUUGCUACAAUGUUCUCAUUUGAUUUUUCAUAUUUAUCCCUUGAUUCAGCUUUAAGUGCAUAGCACGUGAGGAGUUGAUGAGAAAGAUCAUGAUUGCACGUUUUCAUGAGUUAAGAGACUAAUGAUCAUAAAUUUUUAAUUAAGGGAUCAUUCCUCCAAUUAGGUUAACGUUCAAAGAUUAUUGCUACAAUUUUCUCUUUACAAUAGUGGCACCUAUUGCUUUAUAACUGGGACUUAUGUCUGAAAUGACUCAUUUAAACAAUUCUUUACCUGCUAAAGAUUUGAACCUCUACAAUUUUAAAUGUGAAAAAAAAGGUAUUGACUACUAAAAUUCGAUAUUAUACUGAAAUUAUCGAAAAAAAGGUAUUGACUACUAACAGUGAACCCUACCUAGGGUAUAACAAAGGGAGGGCCAUUGUUGGAUUGAAAUGGAACACCUCCGAGUGGCCUCUCUGUGGUUUACGAGAGUGCGAAUGUAAUAGAUAAAAUAAAUUUACAAAUUUGCAGAGGAUAAUGAUUCCAAACCCAAUUAUUCAAUCAAAAAUUAACAAAUUUACAAGAUUGGGAACAAAAUCGAUGAAAUUGAUUCAGCGAGAGCACCGUUUUCGAACCUGAACUUCUUGGAUCAGGCAUCGCGGCGGUGACCCACCUGAAAAUGAUGAACGGAUUGCUGCAAAUCCUAGUUGAAAUCGCUUGCAGUUGCAGACAUUCCAGCGUUCAAAGAAGAAACCAUGGAGAACGCGAAGAGGAAAAGGGAGGUGAAGACUUCGAAGUCGCGCUCGAGUUCGCCAUCGGUUUCAUUGGAAUUUGGGAGAGGAUUUUGCAGAGUUAUCUGUUCGCCGAAAUUUGGAGAUUUUGGUGGUGGGAUGGGAGAUUGGCUUUUCUUUUCUGGGUUUGAAGUGCGGCAGUUUGGGGAUGGAGACGGCAGCGUGAGGUUGAUAACAGUGAGAGUUUUUUUUUUUUUUUUUUUUUAAGCCCUCUAAUUUAAUAUCAAAUUCGCCAUUCACGAAAUUCAAAUCGAAACACUUAACAGUGUCAAGUUGGGUUAAGUGAGUAGACAAGUGUCACAAAAUUAGAGAGGCCGAUUUCUUUUUGGAAACUUUAAUGAAAAGCUUCUAGUACUGUUCAUUUUAACAAAAAAUUAUAUUUUAACAUUAAAAAGUAAAUUCUGGUACUAUUUACUUUACCCUUUAUUUUAUCUUUAUUGUAAAAACUUAAAAUUUUCAAAUUUUUUUCAUUAAUUUUUUUUUUUUUUUUAUAAGUGCGGCAGAUUUCAAUAAAAACAAACGUUUAAGUACGAGUGGAUUAUAAUACGUGAUGAUUUUAUAUUCUAUAUUCUAUAUUUAACAAAAACGGAAUAAUCUACGGUAACACAAAUAUUCAGCAAACAUUACAAAAAUAUUAAAAACAAAGUGUACGGAGCAGAGAAAUUCCCUUCUUCCGAGUGAUUUUAUUCAUUGACCAAACAAAAGUAUGGUCAACCGCUUUCUCUCCAUCUUUCUACUGAUCUGAAAAGAACAUUGAAAGAGAAAAUAAUUACAAACAAUUAUUAAUAAGAUACUCAUUACGAAAAACAUUGGUUUAGCUGUAAUUUGUCUAAUUCAUUAUUGCCAAUUGUAGCAUUUGUAACAUUUUCAGUGGAUUUUGUGUUUGAGCAACAUCAACAGCUCCUAUAUUAUAUAUACGCAAACCAUAGUAAAAUAUGAAACACGUGUGGUGUACAGGCAUUAUUUGGUGUUUUUUAUUUUUUUAUUUUUUGUGGAAAUUUGUAUACAUGUGUAAUAUUUGUAUAAAUAAUUUUGAGGCCAGAAAUAUACUCUAAAAAAGAUGGAACAUGAAUUAAUUAAAUGAUUUUUCUAUAAAAUAAUUAUAAGAAGAAAACAUAAAUCACUUUUAAACUUGGGUUUUAAACUAAUCAAAUCCUUGUUGGGUCUAAAAUAAAUUUUGGGUAAUUUUAAAAUUUUAAAGAUAGUAAAUCCAACGGCUGAGAUCGAAAACGAUCAAAUCUAACGGUAAAAAAAAUCCAACUGCUAAAACAAUUGAAAAAAUAUAUGUAAAUCAAAAUUCACCCAAAAACUCUAUAUUACUGUAAACACGGAAAUUCAAAUUUCGAUGUCUACAAUUACAUUACCUGAACAUUAAUAGUUUCCAGUUAUAUAGUUCCAAAAUCUGCAGUUUUCAGCUAUGACUUGGAUCCCACGCUCCCAAACAUUUCGAAAUCGUAGGUUCAACAACAAUAUGACCCCCAAAACAAUAUUGAAGGAACAAACCAUGGGCAUGAAAAAUUGGGGUGCAAGUAUGCCAUGCAGAAUGAUCCAGCAGACAGCCACACUAAGCCAAGCCCUCCCCAGAUAACGAAUCGGUAUGGAAGUCGGGCGGAGAGGACAAAGAGUCCAAACCAAACAAGAGAGAGAGCUGCCAUAACCACGACAGAGAGAAUGUAGUAUGGAGGUUUGGCAAACUGGCUUGGAUUCAUCCCGACGGGGGUCAGAAUGGAAGCUAAGGCCAACAGGAUGGCCAAAGCCUCAGUUAGAUGUUGUGGGUACGGAGGCGCAUUUCGAAGAGGGUAUUGAUUUUCCACGUCCGCCAUAGCAGAUUUGGGAGAUUUGGGAGGAGGAGAGAAAGAAAUCAGGGAUUGAGAUUGAGCUGAGUACGGCAACUGGAGGAGGAGACAUAGUGUGUUUAUAAGAGUUGAUGAAUCAUGAUGUGGAUUGGGGAAUUUAGGUUUUCAGUGUAUCAUGAUGUGGAUUGGGGAAUUUAGGCUUUUAGUGUAAAAGUUCAGCUUGGUAGUAUGACCGCACACGCUGAACUUUUGCAGACGGUACGUAUGACCGCACACGCUGAACUUUUGGUAGUAGACUCUGUGUUAGGCUAGGCGCUUUUGUUUUGGGCUCAACUCAUGGGUUGGGCUCUUCCUUUGUUGGUGUUUUGGAGAUUCUUAGUUGUUGAGUGGCUGUUGUAAAUUUGGGCCUCCAGUUGCUACAGCGUUUGACAAUGAUCAGGCAAAAACUGAAUCUUUCGUGUGGAGCCGCAGAUGUUCUAAAAAAAAAUGAAUAAUCCAAAUUGAUUAAAUUUACGGAAGAAAGAGAAGAGGAGAAUGGAGAAGAACAGCAGAAGGAGACGAAAUCAGAUUCAGAGUUUGAGAGUCAAUUGCUGAAUUUAGAUGAACUGACCUUUUCGAUCACAGACAGUCAAACUAGAAUGCACAGGGAGAAGCGGAAGAAGAAAAAGAAGAUGGAGAGGGGGUGGUCGACAGCUUACCCGACGCUGUUCGUGGUCGGAGUUGACAAAAAUCAACGAAGCUCUGCGCGAUUACGUCGUUGUGAGCUGUGAGAGAGAAUACGAUGGUCACAUGACUCAAUGUGACAUCCAGAAAACUUAGUACUACAACACUAAACUUAAAAGGAAAAGUACAGAAGAAUCGAAACCAUUAUAAUUCCUUACAUGAUAUUGAAUGUCGGUUAGUUAGAAGAGCCCAAGAAGCGAUUGUUCCAGCUGCUAGCAAUCGGCAUCUCCCGUAUCCAUCUGCCAAAGAUAAACACCAAAUUAGAUGGAAACACAAAAGAGAGAAUUGGUGGGGCUAGCCAGCCGUCAUUUUAGAGGCGGUCUAGCGGCUCGCUACUAAUGAAUUGGCAACAUUCAUUUCCUUUUGUAUUUCAUUUAGUUAAGCUUCCGACGUGGGAUUUUAACAUUCUCCAGCCCCAGUAGCAUCAAUCAACACAAUACCACAAACCCAAAAUUGUGCAUAAAAGAACAGAAAUCAAUGACUGAUUACAAAUUUACAUGAGGGCAGUAAAAGCUAAUAAUGCAGGCUGAUUUCCACAUUGUUAGCAUCAUAAAUAUUCUCAUUACACACUUGAGCACCACUUGAAGCAGGAUAUUAUGUCUUUCUUGUAUCGUCCGCUGUCUCUUUCUAGUCCUAGUUUUUUUUUGCGCAUUGCAGUUACAAAUUAACAUUGCCAAGCAAUAAACUGAUAAAAAGGAAGGGGGAAAAUACAACCAAGCCACCCAUAGACCAAGCAAGCAAAACCAGAUGCAAACAAAUAUACAAAUAAGCAAACUUCAAAAGAUAAAAUAGCAAAAAACCAAACACAUAUAACCACAAUCUAAGAACAUUUUAAUUACAAAAAAGAAAACUGACCUUUUGCGUGGAGGCAAUGAGAAAAUAUAGAGAAGCAGACCAACUAUUUGAAAAGGUAAAAACAAAAGACAGAAAUCAAACAAUGAUAUAUCGGUCUCCAAAAAAAAGUCACAUUAUCACUCCAACUAAUGUACUUCCUAUAUUUGACCACACAACACAUGCACCAUAAUCACUUCAUUGGUGCUCUGCCUCAUUUGCAAAUGUAGUUUUAUCUCCACUGAGUUUGUACAUGCAUGGAAAGUGGAAACAUAUGUUUUUCUUGUUAAUUUGAUUAGAUUAUAAACUGUUUAACUAAUUCCUGGAAUUCAUAUCUGUAACAUCAAACUAUAUCAGUUGGAUUUUACUGGUAUGUAAAACAGUUGUAUAAUGAACAAACAAUGAAAGAAGGAAGCCAAAUAAGGACAAUGAAAAGAAGAGAAUUCAAACACAUUGAGAAUAUUAGUUUCAUAUUUUGAGAACAGAUUUAUUCCAUUACCUUCUACCUUCCCUCUCUUUUAGCAACAAACAAUAGUCAUUAAAUUUCUUCUCAUGGCGUCUGUGCUGUGAGCUUGGCGAAGCCAUAUGACCCUAAUUUCCCUUUUUUUUGGGGGGAAAAAAUUAUACAAAUGGUGCGGUUUCAACUGUACCUAUUUAACCUCGGCGUUUUCAAUUUCAGUUUUACUUCUACCAUCCAUUAAUUUUCCUAUCCAAAAUGCUUUGAAAAAUAAAUCUAUAGCUGCUAACGGUCUAUAUGCUUCAUGCUGUCAGACUCUGCAAUCUAAAAAUUCAUGUAAAUGCAGAGGCUUGGCUGAAGGAGAGGCAUCGAAGAAAUCCAGAAAUCCUUCUAUGGCAAACUUAGUUGUACACCCAUGGCGUGUGUGUUGUAUGCUAGAUGCCCCCUCUCUUUUAACAACACACAAUAGCUUAUGCAAAUGCAAAAAGACUUCAACAUGUUUCAUUUAAAAUAAGUUUACAUUUUGUAGCAAAUGCAUAUGGCGAAAUACGUGUACAUGUACAUCCUUCAGAAGGUUUAGGCUAGUUUGUCUGGUCCCCUUGCAAAGAACUGAGAAGAAGCAAACACAUAUCAAUUGGGUUUUUCCAUCUCAAUGUGCAUGAUUGGUACAGAGUGAAACAAUCUGAAAGGAAAUGCAUUCAAACCUUUUGCCUUGGUUUCUUUAUUAGAUGUGAGGACUGAGGUUUUCCAACCCUCGUAGGCACGCUUUUUGAUCUUUUUGUGCCGCUUGUAACUUGAAGACUGCAAGUUCAAAGGCAUCAAACAGUUACAUUCUGUAGUUUUCAUUUCUAGGGUGGCUUACUCUAGAGGUUGUUAAGAUGAGACUGAUCAAGAACAUAAAAACAAAAGCUAUAUCAUUUGUUCCGUCAUGCUGUACAGGCAGAGUCCAC